rnacentral:rRNA from 1 species
UGGGGAAUAUUGCACAAUGGGCGCAAGCCUGAUGCAGCCAUGCCGCGUGUGUGAAGAAGGCCUUCGGGUUGUAAAGCACUUUCAGCGGGGAGGAAGGCGUUAAGGUUAAUAACCUUGGCGAUUGACGUUACCCGCAGAAGAAGCACCGGCUAACUCCGUGCCAGCAGCCGCGGUAAUACGGAGGGUGCAAGCGUUAAUCGGAAUUACUGGGCGUAAAGCGCACGCAGGCGGUCUGUCAAGUCGGAUGUGAAAUCCCCGGGCUCAACCUGGGAACUGCAUUCGAAACUGGCAGGCUAGAGCCUUGUAGAGGGGGGUAGAAUUCCAGGUGUAGCGGUGAAAUGCGUAGAGAUCUGGAGGAAUACCGGUGGCGAAGGCGGCCCCCUGGACAAAGACUGACGCUCAGGUGCGAAAGCGUGGGGAGCAAACAGG